UCCUACGGGAGGCAGCAGUGGGGAAUAUUGCACAAUGGGGGAAACCCUGAUGCAGCCAUGCCGCGUGUGUGAAGAAGGCCUUCGGGUUGUAAAGCACUUUCAGUCAGGAGGAAGGUGGUGUAGCUAAUAUCUGCACCAAUUGAC
rnacentral:rRNA from 1 species